CGCCAGACUCCUACGGGAGGCAGCAGUGGGGAAUAUUGCACAAUGGGGGAAACCCUGAUGCAGCGACGCCGCGUGAGUGAAGAAGUAUUUCGGUAUGUAAAGCUCUAUCAGCAGGGAAGAAAAUGACGGUACCUGAUUAAGAAGCCCCGGCUAACUACGUGCCAGCAGCCGCGGUAAUACGUAGGGGGCAAGCGUUAUCCGGAAUUACUGGGUGUAAAGGGAGCGUAGACGGUGAUGCAAGUCUGGAGUGAAAGGCGGGGGCCCAACCCCCGGACUGCUCUGGAAACUGUGUAACUUGAGUGCAGGAGAGGUAAGCGGAAUUCCUAGUGUAGCGGUGAAAUGCAUAGAUAUCACGCAGAACUCCGAUUGCGAAGGCAGCAUACCGGCGCGCAACUGACGCUCAUGCACGAAAGCGUGGGUAUCGAACAGGAUUAGAUACCCGAGUA
rnacentral:rRNA from 1 species